UACAGAGGGUGCGAGCGUUAAUCGGAAUUACUGGGCGUAAAGCGUUCGUAGACGGUUACAUAAGUCAGAUGUGAAAGCCCCGGGCUCAACCUGGGAAUUGCAUUUGAGACUGUGUAGCUAGGGUGCGGAAGAGGGAAGCGGAAUUUCCGGUGUAGCGGUGAAAUGCGUAGAUAUCGGAAGGAACACCAGUGGCGAAAGCGGCUUCCUGGUCCAGCACCGACGUUCAGGCACGAAAGCGUGGGGAGCAAACAGG
rnacentral:rRNA from 1 species